UACAGAGGGUGCAAGCGUUGUUCGGAAUUACUGGGCGUAAAGCGUGCGUAGUCGGUAUUGAGAGUCGCGGGUGAAAUCCCAGGGCUUAACCCUGGAACUGCCUGCGAGACCUCAGUACUAGAGUGUGAGAGGGGAUAGUGGAAUACCAAGUGUAGCGGUGAAAUGCGUAGAGAUUUGGUAGAACACCGGUGGCGAAGGCGGCUAUCUGGCUCACAAACUGACGAUCAGGCACGAAAGCGUGGGGAGCAAACAGG
rnacentral:rRNA from 1 species